ensembl:snRNA U6 U6 spliceosomal RNA
UUGCUUCUGCAGCAAAUAUAUUAUAACUGAAAUUAUACAGAGAAGAUUAGCAUGGCCCUUAUGCAAGGAUGACAUGCAAACUCAUUAAGCAUUCCAUAUUAAA